CCAUGCUUUCACAGGCAGAAAAUUAUAUCUUAUUAAUCAAUCACUGCUCUUCAAUAGUUUAGCAAUGAAUUUAUAUAACUAUUUAAUAAGUAUACAAGUUGCAAUAAAAAAUUAAAAUGGACACAUAAACCAACGAACUGGGAGGAUGCAAACCCCAUUAGGGAAAAAAGAUACUACAAAUCCCAUUUUCUUGGCUCUAUCUUCCGGGCUUAAACAAGGAAGAAGCAACACCUAUCAUGUUUCUGAAACUGGAUUUUAUGGCUUCUAAGCUUGUAAAUCCAGCUUCUCAAGUGGGGCAUCCAGUACCAAGAAUGAGAAAGAUGCUUAAAACUCAUAGCAGGUCAGUCCCAGCUAUAAUUCAUCCAUGGACCAGGAGGAAAAGAAAUGCUGAUGUGGUUAGGCCAAUUCACAUCAUCAAAGUUGCAGAACAAAGCCCUGGAUUAGUUGAUGAUAACAAGGAGAUCAAUGAAAAUGACAAAGAUAACAGGGAAGUUGAACAGAUUAAAGCAGACCUUUUCCAGGCAGUCCAAGGUAUGUCUGUCCCCCCUUGAAUUUUCAGUCUCAUGUGCCUAAUAUUUUGCCAUUAAUUCUCUUAACAAUGAGCUUGUUGAGCAUUCUGCAAUGAAUACUGAAAUGGGGUGGCGUUAAAAUGUGAUCAAAGUAAUUAAUAGAGGGAUUUUUGGAGUCCCAUCUGCAAAGAAAUCUGCGAUUCAUGGUUUGGUGGAGCUAUUAGAGUCUCAAAAUCCAACACCAGAUCCUACUCUAAAUCUUGAGAAGGUGGGUGGUUGCUGGAAGCUUGUGUACAGUACAAUCACUAUACUGGGUUCAAAGAGAACAAAGCUAGGAUUGAGAGAUUUUAUCAGCUUGGGAGACUUUUACCAGAAUAUUGAUGUCGCUAAGUUAAUGUGAUCAAUUUCAAUGUUAGAGGAUUGAAUAUGUUGAAUGGACAGCUGACAAUUGAGGCAUCGUUCAAGACUGCGUCUAGAUCAAGAGUUGAUAUAAACUAUGAAAGUUCUAAUAUCAUCCCUGAUCAGUUGAUGAACAUGUUUCGAAAAAACUACGAUCUUCUGCUUAGCAUAUUCAAUCCGGAUGGUUGGCUCGAGAUCACAUAUGUUGAUGACAACAUGAGGAUAGGGAGAGAUGACAGUGGCAAUAUCUUCAUACUAGAGAGAUCCCGAGAAUCUGAAAAUUAAAGAUCAAUUUGCUGCAAUGAUCUUCCUGACAGCAAAUUCAUUAUUUUAGUGAUACAAUCUUCAAGAAUUAUGCUGAUUUCUUCAAUUAUUUCAGUUGAAAA